CCCUUAGAUGUCCUGGGCCGCACGCGUGCUACACUGAUGCAUACAGCGAGUACUCCCAGCUCCGAGAGGCUGCUGGUAAUCAGCAAUAUGCAUCGUGAUGGGGAUAGAUCUUUGGAAUUAUAGAUCUUGAACGAGGGAUUCCUAGUAAUCGCAGGUCAUCACCCUGCGUUGACUAAGUCCCUGCCCUUUGUACACACCGCCCGUCGCUCCUACCGAUUUCGAGUGAUCCGGUGAAUCAUUCGGACCGCGGCCCCUAGGCAUGCGGAAAGUCUAGUAAACCAUAUCACUUAGAGGAAGGAGAAGUCGUAACA
rnacentral:rRNA from 1 species